UUCUGCCUUAUCCUUCAUCCAACUCUCAAAGAUUCAGGAUAAAAAGGAUCACAGAGUUCUUUUUCUUUUCUGCCAGGGAUAUGUACAUUACUAGAGGGCAGUUCCUUCGCAGAGAAAUGAAUUAUUGUCACAUGGAUGGCUCAGACCCCUCAUGGACCUGAUGUUUGUCCCCUGACCUGAUGGAGGCACCUCAGUUCCCUGAAGGAGAGGAGGAAAAUCGGUGUGAAAGGCCAAGAAGAAAGAAGUAGUGCUUUUGUGGGUCAUCUGUGCUAUGUUGAAACAUCACCCAUUCACAGUCCUUUGUUAACUCUUCCACUCAGUCAUUGCCCUAGAGUGCUAGCAACCAUUCUUUAAAGAAUCCCACACCUUGAACAUUUGACCUGGAUUGCAGAUGCACACAAAAUAAUAGGUCCAUUGCAAAACUGUAUCAUCAUUAGCUAUGACCUGUACGACAUUCUUCCUACUUACAUUAACUAGACUUUUAAUAAUUGCUCUUGGUUUUUUUCCCCAUUAGCUGAUACGCACAUAACUAAAGGCACUGCCAUUUCAUUUUAUCCUGGCUAAUUUUUGUUAAGUUGCCUUUUUGGUGGGUCAUUUAUUGUGUUUUGUCCAAUUGGCUGUUCCCAAGGUAAAGAGAAACUGAAAAUUCUGAAGCCAAUAUUUUAGUGUUUUUCCUUCAAAAUUCAGUAGUGUCUGAUGCAGACUCAUACCAUAAGUUGCAGAUGAAUCCUACAAGCUCUGCUUAUAAAUUUCUAUCAGCUUUACAUUUGAGUAGUGCAUUGCCCUGGGACUGCAAUGGUUUGCUUUGUACUGGGCGCAUCGACAUGUGCAAUUAAGGCACAUGGAUAAACUCCGGAGCUCAUGAACUGGAGUUUAUUGCUCCCGAGCAUCACAGCUUCACAUGUGCUUGGGACCACAGCAUGUUGAGCUGUGUUGGAGCAGCCCAGGGGGUCAGCCUGCCAACCUGGGGUUGCUCCCUGUGGCUCAGCGUGCUGUGGAUGGGCUGGCUGAAGCACCCUUAUGCUCCAGCCAGCUGAGACUGUGUCUACACAUGCGCUACUGUGGAGUUUUUUACUUUUAUGUACAAUGCUCUAUCCUGCUGCAGAGUAAAUUUAGUGUAGUUUACUCCAGCCUAAUAGGGGCGCACACAUAGAUGCACAACGAUUAGUGUGCAACUAAUUCAUCUACUGUGCAGUAAAGUCUUGUUUAGAUGUGCCCACUCUGGAUUAGAUUUCUUUUAGUAGAUCUCUGAACAAUCCAGAAGACCCCACAGCUGUCACCAUGCCGAUCUGUUAAGUGGGCUGAUGUAUUACAUGUGCAAUUAAAAUGCUAGAGCAAAGCCAGACGUAGUCCUGUCAAAGUAAAAGGGACUUUCAGCUGCGAAUGGAAUGGAACUUUGACAAAUCUGCUGAAAGUUACGAAGAGGAAGAAAGUCUGCAGGAAGAAAGAGACGAAGCCAAAUAGGCUGUGAUUGGAGCUGAAUGAAUAUAGAUAUAAAGUAUUUGAGGAUGUUCUUGCAAAUAAAACCUGCUGAUUUGAUUUGCUGAUAUCUCAUACCAUUUUAAUCACUUUUUUGUGAACAUCUGGUUGAGCUAAUUCUUAUUCACCAGAACAAAACAUGGAAGACAAAAGCUUCAUGAGUACUUGCAUAUAUUUCA